GUGACAGAAGAGAGUGAGCACAGGUGGUGUUUUCUUGCAUUGAUAUAUAUAUGUAUAUGCUUGAAGCUAUGCGUGCUCACUCUCUAUCUGUCAC
rnacentral:pre_miRNA from 1 species